UACGAAGGGGGCUAGCGUUGCUCGGAAUCACUGGGCGUAAAGGGCUCGUAGGCGGCCAACUAAGUCAUACGUGAAAUCCCUCAGCUUAACUGGGGAACUGCGUGUGAUACUGGAUGGCUUGAGUUUGGGAGAGGGAUGCGGAAUUCCAGGUGUAGCGGUGAAAUGCGUAGAUAUCUGGAGGAACACCGGUGGCGAAGGCGGCAUCCUGGACCAACACUGACACUGAGGAGCGAAAGCCAGGGGAGCAAACGGG
rnacentral:rRNA from 1 species